CUCAGAUCUCAAAUGGCGGAGGUUGAACCAGGGGCCAGUUUAUUCCCAAAUGGUGUUCCUUGGCUCUAUGCCCUGUUUGCUAUGCUUUUUGUAUUUUUUCUCUUUGUCAUGUUCUCUCCCUUUUUACUUGAGAUAGACCAACAUAUAAAGAAAUUCUUGCUCAGAUGCAGGUAUUCUCUGCAUAAUGCUCUGCGUAAGAAUAAAGAAAAUGAGAUAAAGAUGGACCAUCUGGGAAGGCCAGGCUGUCCUUUGGAGUCACCAAGGAGAGAAGUUCUGGGAAGGAAGGAAGAUGGGAUGGGAAGAGAUCCCUCGCUACUUGUGAGGGUAGCAAGAGAGCCCAGGGGUUCUGAGGUUGAGAUCUGUACCCCUGGACCAUCCGUUUGAGAGUGGCUGAGGCUCUAAGGAAUCACCUGUGACAUCAUAUCCCAGACAUGAGAGGGCUUCUUAGACCCUCAUUAUGUAUGUUUAUAUGAAAAAAAAGAUAAUAAAUAUUUUGAGACUCUC